GUGGGGAAUAUUGGACAAUGGGGGGAACCCUGAUCCAGCCAUGCCGCGUGUGUGAAGAAGGCCUUUUGGUUGUAAAGCACUUUAAGCGAGGAGGAGGCUACCGAGAUUAAUACUCUUGGAUAGUGGACGUUACUCGCAGAAUAAGCACCGACUAACUCUGUGCCAGCAGCCGCGGUAAUACAGAGGGUGCAAGCGUUAAUCGGAUUUACUGGGCGUAAAGCGCGCGUAGGUGGCCAAUUAAGUCAAAUGUGAAAUCCCCGAGCUUAACUUGGGAAUUGCAUUCGAUACUGGUUGGCUAGAGUAUGGGAGAGGAUGGUAGAAUUCCAGGUGUAGCGGUGAAAUGCGUAGAGAUCUGGAGGAAUACCGAUGGCGAAGGCAGCCAUCUGGCCUAAUACUGACACUGAGGUGCGAAAGCAUGGGGAGCAAACAGGAUUAGAAACCCGGGUAGUCC
rnacentral:rRNA from 1 species